GAUGAACGCUGGCGGCGUGCCUAAUACAUGCAAGUAGAACGCUGAAGCUUGGUGCUUGCACCGAGCGGAUGAGUUGCGAACGGGUGAGUAACGCGUAGGUAACCUGCCUCUUAGCGGGGGAUAACUAUUGGAAACGAUAGCUAAUACCGCAUAAAAGUCGAUAUCGCAUGAUGUUGACUUGAAAGGUGCAAUUGCAUCACUAAGAGAUGGACCUGCGUUGUAUUAGCUAGUUGGUGAGGUAACGGCUCACCAAGGCGACGAUACAUAGCCGACCUGAGAGGGUGAUCGGCCACACUGGGACUGAGACACGGCCCAGACUCCUACGGGAGGCAGCAGUAGGGAAUCUUCGGCAAUGGGGGCAACCCUGACCGAGCAACGCCGCGUGAGUGAAGAAGGUUUUCGGAUCGUAAAGCUCUGUUGUAAGAGAAGAACGAGUGUGAGAGUGGAAAGUUCACACUGUGACGGUAACUUACCAGAAAGGGACGGCUAACUACGUGCCAGCAGCCGCGGUAAUACGUAGGUCCCGAGCGUUAUCCGGAUUUAUUGGGCGUAAAGCGAGCGCAGGCGGUUAGAUGAGUCUGAAGUUAAAGGCUGUGGCUUAACCAUAGUACGCUAUGGAAACUGUUUAACUUGAGUGCAGAAGGGGAGAGUGGAAUUCCAUGUGUAGCGGUGAAAUGCGUAGAUAUAUGGAGGAACACCGGUGGCGAAAGCGGCUCUCUGGUCUGUAACUGACGCUGAGGCUCGAAAGCGUGGGGAGCAAACAGG
rnacentral:rRNA from 1 species